rnacentral:misc_RNA from 1 species
AACGCACAUUGCGCCCCCUGGUAUUCCGGGGGGCAUGCCUGUCCGAGCGUCAUUUCUGCCCUCAAGCACGGCUUGUGUGUUGGGCCCCGUCCUCCGAUCCCGGGGGACGGGCCCGAAAGGCAGCGGCGGCACCGCCUCCGGUCCUCGAGCGUAUGGUGCUUUGUCACCCGCUCUGUAGGCCCGGACGGCGCUUGCCUAUCAACCCAAAUUUUUAGCCAGGUUGACCACGGAUCAGGUAGGGAUAACCACUGACCU